rnacentral:rRNA from 1 species
AUACGGAGGGUGCAAGCGUUACUCGGAAUCACUGGGCGUAAAGCGCGCGCAGGCGGCUUGAUAAGUUGGAUGUGAAAGCCUACGGCUCAACUGUAGAUCUGCAUCCAAAACUGUCAGGCUAGAGUGUGGGAGAGGAAGAUGGAAUUAGUUGUGUAGGGGUAAAAUCCGUAGAGAUAACUAGGAAUACCAAAAGCGAAGGCAAUCUUCUGGAACACUACUGACGCUGAGGCGCGAAGGCGUGGGGAGCAAACAGGAGUAGAAACCCCAGUAGUCC